CCCGAUCCCAUUCCGAACUCGGCCGUGAAACGCUCCAGCGCUGAUGGUACUUCGUCUCAAGACGCGGGAGAGUAAGUCGCUGCCAGGU
rnacentral:rRNA from 1 species